rnacentral:rRNA from 1 species
GCUUGCUUGGUCUGAUCAGUGGCGAACGGGUGAGUUUUACGUGAGUAACCUGCCCCAGACUCUGGGAUAAGGCCGGGAAACCGGAGCUAAUACCGGAUAUGACACGCCCCUGCAUGGGGAGUGUGUGGAAAGUUUUUCGGUCUGGGAUGGACUCGCGGCCUAUCAGCUUGUUGGUGAGGUAAUGGCUCACCAAGGCGACGACGGGUAGCCGGCCUGAGAGGGCGACCGGCCACACUGGGACUGAGACACGGCCCAAACUCCUACGGGAGGCAGCAGUGGGGAAUAUUGCACAAUGGGCGAAAGCCUGAUGCA